GCGGCGCCCCCUCCUCCAUGCCCUUCGAUCUGGCGACGAGCCGCACCAGGGGCUGUGGCGGCGGGGCUUCCCUCUCCCGGCUGCAGCUGCGGUGGCUUCCUCAUCUCCCCUGAUGGCAUCCACUUGAAGGAACUGGCAUCCGGCGGCUCCAUCCCUGCCGAGCAGUUCCGUGCCUUGUGCUGGCCGCAUGCGUCGUCUCUGUCCUAGUAGCAUGCUUGGUCCGGGUCGCGUAGUUGCCGAGCCAAAAGCAUGCUUUGUGUGGCAGCACUGCCGCUGAGACAACGUCGAUGGAAUUAAGUUUGGUUGAGACAGUUGCGAACCUACGUUUUCUGAACUGAUGGCAGCCAACAAAGUGGAUAAUUAGCAUUGGAAUACCUGAUGAAGUGAACUUGCUAUGUAGAGUAUGAAGUAUGUGUACAUACAGUAUAUAAUAUUUGUAUAUACUUAGAAUAUGAAGUAUGUGUACAUACUUAUAUAUAUAAAGUACGAACUUUGAUUAUUUCCUUUCGGAUGACUAGGAACAAUAUUCUUACUAUAAUCUGAUCAAAGAAUAGUACAUCAAUCGUCCAGGAGAGGAUCUGCAUCAGUGUAAUCACGCUACUUCUUUCUUUUAUCUAUAGAUAGAUGAGAGUAUCAUCUGAUACUCUUUUUUAGAUGAGAUCAAAACAUCAAUUGAUAACUUUUAGAUUUGAAUAUCCUCAUAUACUUCCUUUGUUACACUGAGCUAUCACUUCAUACUUUCUGGGAUAUGUUUGUACCACUAGAUACUUUUUUAGAUUAUAAUUGCGGCACUUCUACAUUGUUCUAUA